rnacentral:snRNA from 1 species
GUGCUCGCCUCGGCAGCACAUAUACUAAAGUUAGAACGAUACAGAGAAGGUUAGCAUGGCCCCUGCGCGAGGAUGACAUGCAAAGUCGUGAAGCGUUCCAUACUAGA